GAACUGGGCUUGAGCAGUGGGAAGGAUUUGGAGAGCGGAGGAAUGAAGGAGAGCAGAGAGGAGAGGCUUGGAGGUGAUGAGAUGAGAGGACAGCUGUUCUCCCCUCACUCAAGGUAGCACUCUGAGGUGUCCAGGAGGCGAUCCACAAAUCAUCCCACUGAGUGUGCUUACAGCCGGUUUCUCCCACCUCAGCCCUGCUGCGAGGAAGGACUAAGAAAAACAGCCUGCAUGGGCCGGGCUUGGAUUUCAAGUUCUCAGAAAAAGUUUGCCAACUCCUGCUCUAGAUUGAUGGUUACAAAGUCUGACAGAGGAUACAGUUACAGGGACAUGGCAAAGCCAGAAAAACGAGGACCGGGAGUCCAGCUUUCAACAAAGCCAAUCUAUUCAAUCUCCAGACUACCCUUUGUACCAAGGACAUUGUUAAGUACCUUCUUAAAGACUGAGUGCAAAAGAGUAUGA
rnacentral:lncRNA from 1 species